rnacentral:lncRNA from 1 species
CUUUCCUCUGGAACGCUCGACUGCUUAAGAGAAAAAUGCCUCAAAUGAGCAUGUGCACAACUCCAGCAAACACGCUGGACAUGCGGCCUCUCCCAAGUGCUGGCAGGCCACUGCACAUGUGGACCCACGGGAAGAAUCAGGAGAGAAGAAAUGCAAACCCCAGAGUCAUGCCAAGAGAGUCCUUUCUAUGGAGGAGACAUUAUGCUAGAAUUUUCACACAGAUUAUUUUAUUUAACUCCAAGAACUACUCCAUGAAAUAGGCAUGAUCAUCACCUUCAUUGUUUACAGGUAAGAAAACUAAAGUUCACAGUGGUUAAAUUGCUUGUCCAUAGUUGCAUGUGUAGUAAGAGGGGCUAGAGAGUAGGAAUUUCAUAUCAUUUUGAGCUCUUGAGUUUGUAAGCAUCGUUUUUCUUUAGAGUUAUCUCCUGGUUUUCCAUGAUAGAAAGUCUUUCUUGGACUUUUUUUCUGGCGCAAGCAUUCCUUCUCAUACUUAAAUUCUUCACAAAUAUCCUUGACUUUUCUAUUAAUUCUAAAUUGCAGUCUAUAGUCCCACAAAGUGUAAAAGUAUGAAAUGUUAAAAUUCUUUGUUUAAAAGCAUUCAUUAUUACUUACAUUUCUAAAUGAAUGUAAGAAAUGCAAUAACUUAGCAAACAGAAAGUUCAAUCAGAUUUGCUCAUGCAGGGGUCUUAUGAUAUUUCAAUGAAGAUUGAUGUCCAUUCUAUGGCUAAAGUGGCAGGACACAAAACAUAAUAGAAUUGUGCAAAUACAGAGAAAAAGUAAUGCAUUCCAAGCUAUAAGAAAGUGCCUUCCUUGAUUAGGUAUGUUAUCAUACUGUGGUUCUGUUCCUGUUUAUUCUUGCAUUUGUUCAGAGUUAUGCUUUUGAAAGAAAUCAAAAUAUUUCACCCCAAAAUAUACUUAUUUAACAUAUUUUGACAUCGCUAUUAAGAGGGCUUGUAAACAGAAUGAGCCCUGCAAAGCUGUCUUUUGUGGGGGAGAUUUGCAUCUGUAGAAAAUGUGCAUCGAUGUGGCCGGGUUUCUCUGAGGCCUUGCCUUGUGGAACCCUAACAAACAUUAAUUUCUGUAAGGGUUUAAUGUAAGCCACAUACUCUUCUGAGAUUAGCAUAUUUUAGUACCACAUUAUCUCUUAUACUAGUCAUUGCAAUGACAAGAAAAUAAAUAGAAAAUUCAGGCCAAAAGCUAUCUAUCAAAAGUAAUUUUUAAACUUCCACAGCAAAAUUCCUACCUUUCAGGUAUGUUUACAAUGAUGAAAAAACUAUUUUCUAAUUUUUAAAGUUGUAUCCUUGAUAUAAUGAGAUAAAAUGUGGAUUUAAAACCAGUGAUUAACAGUGUCUCCCCAAUAACAAAUAAAAGACAGCUUUCAAGAUCUCAAAGAAACAUUUACUACAUCUUUUGAGGGUUGCUACCUGUGGGUUUCCACCUACGUAACAAAACCAUCUUUGCUAGCCAUGUCUCCUCUUUUUCCCUCCUGUAACCUGUUUUGCCACUAUAACCUGUUUUGUCAGAGCCAAGCCUCAUACAUUCUGUAAUCUCAGUAUGGCAUAUAUGCUUCUGAACCACACUUGAAGGUUGGGGUUAUGUAAUCACUCCGUGGUUCUUCCCCAUAUGCAUGUUGAUACAUUUGUAUGCCUUUGCUCCAAUCAAUCAGUCUUUUGUGAGUUGAUUUUACAGCAAAAUUUCAGAGGACAAACGGAAAUGUUUCCAUUGGUCCCUACACUUUAAAUGUAUACAUUUUAAAUUUAUUACCAGUGACUAUAUACUUAUAUUUUAACAAUGCUACUGCAAAGUAACAAAAAUGUGAAAUAUUGAAUGUAUGGCUUAAGAGAUCUACAAUAAAUGAUUAUGUGAAG